GCCGUAUAACAGUAUUUCGAAUAAAGCCUUCAUCUGUAUGCGUAUAGCUAUCAGAGAGAAUUAAGUUAAAAUACAGUUGAAGGGAGGAUCAUAAUGUAGACGCUACAUCUUGAAAAAUAAGCUUUCACGACACAAUAAAUAAUCAAUUUAAGUUGUGUUUGCAAUUGGAGCGAUCCUUAGUUUCGAAAAAAUAGAAUGCUUAGCCGACAAGACUUCUUUUACAAUCUUUCAAAUUGAUUUUGCAUGCAUGAAAUGACUGAAUCCUAAGACAUGGUAACAAUGGAUAAAAUUAUAACGUUGGAUAUUGAUUAAAGUGUGCAUGUUACGUGUUUCUUGAAUAAGGUCACAACCAAGAGCAGGUUAAAGAAACCAAACGUAUAAAAUGUAGCAACACCAAGAGAAAAAAAGAAAUACAAAGCUAUGACGCAUGCACUAGUUAUUGAUAGCAAGCGCGUUUAUCAUAUCGUAAUGCUUAAAAGACAUUACCAGAAUCUAAUGUUUCAUCAUUAGCCAUAUAUUUUAGAACCAAUGUCUAUGUGCAAU
rnacentral:lncRNA from 1 species